rnacentral:rRNA from 1 species
GGGAAAAUCUCAUUAAGAGUAUAUGGUGGAUGCCCUGACUUAAGAAGACGAUGAAGGACGCAGCAGCCUGCGAUAAGCCUCGGCGAGGUGGCAAGCAACCUUUGACCCGAGGAUUUCCGAAUGGGGAAACCCGUCCCGAUGAAGUCGGGACGACCGCUGUCUGAACACAUAGGACAGUGAGUGGACAACCCGGCGAACUGAAACAUCUUAGUAGCCGGAGGAAAAGAGAAAAAUAUUUAUUCCCUGAGUAGUGGCGAGCGAAAGGGGAGGAGUCUAAACCCGUAAAACUGCGAUUCAGUUAGCUUUUUGCUAUCUGGGUCAGAAGGUUCUAGGACCAUAUGUUUUAUUGGAGUUGCAAGAUAGUUGCGUUUUCUUCCUAGACAAAGAAAGGUAAAGAUACAAAUUAUAACUUUCCCUAAUUGAAGCGAGCUGGAAAGCUCCGCCAGAGCAGGUGAUAGCCCUGUAAGUGAAAGGGGUUAUAGCUUUACUGCAACAUAUCUUAAGUACCGCGGGACACGAGAAAUCCCGCGGGAAUCCAGGUCGACUAUGACCUAAGACUAAAUACUUCUUAAGAUCGAUAGCGAACAAGUACCGUGAGGGAAAGGUGAAAAGCAUCCCGGUGAGGGAGGUGAAAUAGUACCUGAAACCAUAUACUUACAAGGAGCUGGAGCCUCGGUUUACCGGGGUGACAGCGUGCCUAUUGAAGAAUGAGCCAACGAGUUUGUUCUAUGUGGCUUGGCUAAUCUCCGUUUGGAGUGGAGCCAUAGUGAAAGCGAGGGUUAAUAGCCCGUAUAUCGGAUUUCUGAUUUCGUCCCGCAUAUCGCGGAACGAUUUCUGAAUUCCGAUCGGUCGCAUGGACAAGACCCGAAGCCGGGUGAUCUAGCCAUGGCCAGGUUGAACUCCGAUGAAAAUCGGAGGGAGGACCGAACCCACUAGUCGUACAACACUAGGGGAUGAGCUGUGGUUAGCGGAGAAAUUCCAAUCGAACUCGGCAAUAGCUGGUUCUCCUCGAAAUAGCUUUUGGGCUAGCCUCGAGCGUUUAACCUAGGGGGUAGAGCACUGAAUGAGGGCGGGUCGCAAGAUACCGUCUUCAACCAAACUCCGAAUACCUAGGCCUAUAGCUCGGGAGUCAGACUAUGGGGGCUAAGCUCCAUCAGUCAAAAGGGAAACAGCCCUAAUCGCAAUCUAAGGUCCCUAAAUAUAUGCUAAGUGUAAAAAGUGGUGUCGCGACUGCGACAACUAGGAGGUUGGCUUAGAAGCAGCCAUCCUUUAAAGAAAGCGUAAUAGCUCACUAGUCAAGUUGCCGCGCGCUGAAAAUUUAUCGGGGCUAAGCAUAUUACCGAAGAUGCGGAUGUCGUUGCUUCGCAUUGACACGCGGAUUUUACGCCGAUUACAACGCGGAUUUUACGCUGAUUAUUUUCAGUGUUUUGUCAGCGUGCCAUCAGCGUGCCAUCAGCGUGCCAAUGCGGAGCAGCGGCGUGGUAGAGGAGCAUUUUGUCCGGCGUUGAAGCUGUGUCGCGAGGCAUGGUGGAGCGGACAGAAGAGAGAAUGUUGGCAUGAGUAGCAUUAAAGCCGGUAAGAAACCGGCUCACCGAAAGCUUAAGGUUUCCUGGGCAAUGAAAAUCAACCCAGGGUUAGUCGGUCCUAAGGCGAGCCGUGUGUAAUGCGCGGGUAGUCGAUGGAUGAGCUGGUUAAUAUUCCAGCACUAUUAUUGUGUUCCGAUGGGGGGACGCAAUUUAAAGGUUUGAGCGUUUUUAUGGUAUGAGCGUUGAUUGCCAAGUUUGAUGAUUCAGGCAAAUCCGGAUCACCAAUCAAACAAGGCUGUCAAAAGGCAAAGCUUCGGCGGAGCCAAUUCAAGCUGAUAGAUUGCCCAGAAAAACCUCUAGGGCUAACGCGAUAAUAACCGUACCGCAAACCGACACAGGUGAGCGAGGCGAGAAGCCUCAGGUGUACGAGAGAACCUUCGUUAAGGAACUCGGCAAAACAGCGGCCGUAAUUUCGAGAUAAGGCCUGCCCCGGUUUACCGGGGCCGCAGCUAAAGAACUCAAGUGACUGUUUAUCAAAAACACAGCUCCCUGCUAACUCGUAAGAGGAUGUAUAGGGGGCGAUGCCUGGCCAGUGUCCGAACGUUAAGGGGAGAGGUUAGUCCCGCAGCAAUGCGGGGCGAAGCUUUGAACCGAAGCGCGGAUGAACGCCGGCCGUAACUAUAACGGUCCUAAGGUAGCGAAAUUCCUUGUCGGGUAACUUCCGACCUGCACGAAUGGCUUAACAACUUGGGUACUGUCUCAACGAAGGACUCGGCGAAAUUGCAGGACGAGUAAAGAUGCUCGUUAACCAUAGUUGGACGAAAAGACCCCGUGAAGCUUUACUAUAGCUUGACAUUGGAUUAGGGGUAUGCAUGUUCAGCAUAGGUGGGAGAGCCGGUUUACCGGCUCAACAGUGAGAUACCACCCUUGUAUGCUUUUAAUUCUAACUCCCAGCCUUGAAUCAGGCGGGAGGACAGUGUCUGGUGGGUAGUUUGUCUGGGGCGGAUGCCUCCCAAAAGGUAACGGAGGCGUUUACAAAGGUUGGCUAUUCCGGGAUGGAAAUCCGGAAGAUAGCGUAAAGGCAUAAGCCAGCUUUACUGCAAGACCUACUAGUCGAGCAGUCGCGAAAGCGGAACUUAGUGAUCCGACCGUGCGAUAUAGGACGGCGGAAGCUCAUCGGAUAAAAGCUACUCCGGGGAUAACAGGCUAGUCACGCCCGAGCGUCCACAGCGACGGCGUGGUUCGGCACCUCGAUGUCGGCUCGUCGCAUCCUGGGGGUGAAGAAGCUCCCAAGGGUUAGGCUGUUCGCCUAUUAAAGCGGCACGCGAGCUGGGUUCAGACCGUUCAGAAGCUGAUUUUUUAUUCGGCUCUUGAACCAUCUGAACCCGAGGAGACAUCAAUAACGGCGGCAUCCCGCAGUAAUGCGGGAUUGAAAAAGUCGACUCAUAUCGGUGAAGUCCUAUCAUAUAAAUUUGCAUUUCAACCUGUCAUAUGUUAGGAUAAUACCGAGGGAAGUUGAUUAUGUCUAAACUUAUAACCACAACAAAAAGAGCGUAUUUGGCCGGAUUUCUUGAUGGCGACGGAAGUAUUUACGUAAGACUGAAACCAAAUCCUACUUACAAGUAUGGAUUUCAGGUAUCGCCUUAUAUUAUACUUUUCCAAUCCAAAAAAGAAUCUGAGAAUUUUAAGAAAAUUUGCUCUUUAAUAGAUUGCGGUUAUAUACGUGAAAGAAAUGAUGGUAUAUUAGAAUAUACCAUUAAUAGAAGAGAUGAAAUAAUAAAAUUCUUGAAAUUAAUAAAGCCAUAUUUAAUCUUAAAGAAAGAACAGGCCGGUUUAAUGAUAAAAAUAUUAAACCAGAAAAAUAGAGUGAAAAGCAGAGAAGAUUUUAAUAAAUUGGCAGAGUUAAUAGAUAAAUUUAGAGAAUUGAAUUAUUCAAAGAAGCGUAAAAGACAUAAUUUAACCCCGUAGAGACUGAUCCUUAAAUGGAGAGAGUGUUCCAGUAUAAUUGGAGCGCUAACACGUCGACCCCCCGGUACAACCGGGGUGAUGGUAUAGUCCAUACACUUGGCAACAAGUGAAAUAAAUGCGUAAGACAGGUCGGUCUCCUAUCCACUAUGGUCAUGGAAACUUGAGGAGUCCCUUCCUUAGUACGAGAGGACCGGGAAGGACGAAGCUCUGGUGUACCAGCUGUUCUACCAAGGGCAUUGCUGGGUAGCUAACUUCGGUUAGGAUAAGCGCUGAAAGCAUCUAAGCGCGAAGCCGUCUCCAAGAUUAGGUUUCACAGGCUGGUCAUAGACGAUGACCUUGAUAGGCUCUAGGUGUAAGCCCCGCAAGGGGUUGAGCCGAGGAGUACUAAUAAGCCGUUUGAUUUUCCCAC